rnacentral:rRNA from 1 species
CCCGGGCCUUGUACACACCGCCCGUCACACCAUGGGAGUUGGUUUUACCCGAAGCCGGUGCGCGAACCGCAAGGACGUCAGCCGACCACGGUAAGGUCAGCGACUGGGGUGAAGUCGUAAACAAGGUACC